CCCUUAGAUGUUCUGGGCUGCACGCGCGCUACACUGAUACUUUCAGCGAGUCCACCACCUUGCCUGGGAGGGUGGGGUAACCUCUGGAAAGUGCAUCGUGAUGGGGAUCGAUUAUUGUAAUUAUUAAUCUUCAACGAGGAAUUCCUAGUAAGCAUGUGUCAUCAGCCCGUGCUGAUUACGUCCCUGCCCUUUGUACACACCGCCCGUCGCACCUACCGAUUGGAUGGUCCGGUGAAGCCUCGGGAUUGUGGCGGUUGCCUUUAUUGGUGGCCGCCGCGAGAACUUGUCUAAACCUUAUCAUCUAGAGGAAGGUGAAGUCGUAACA
rnacentral:rRNA from 1 species